GAUGAAGAACGUAGCGAAAUGCGAUAAGUAAUGUGUAUUGCAGAAUUCAGUGAAUCAUCGAAUCUUUGAACGCACAUUGCGCCCCUUGGUAUUCCGAGGGGCAUGCCUGUUCGAGCGUCAUUAUAACCCCUCAAGCUCAGCUUGGUGUUGGGGCCUGCCGCACGGGCAGCCCUUAAAAUCAGUGGCGGUGCCAUCUGGCUCUAAGCGUAGUAAUUCUUCUCGCUAUAGAGUCCCGGUGGAUGCUUGCCAUUAACCCCCAAUUUUCUAUGGUUGACCUCGGAUCAGGUAGGGAUACCCGCUGAACUUAAGCAUAUCAAUAAGCGGAGGA
rnacentral:misc_RNA from 1 species